ACAUGGGCUAACACAUAUAUGACAGAACGGCUCCGUUCAUGGGCUAGCACAAAGCCCAAACGCUAGCAGCCUAGCACGGCCACUCAUUCACCCACACCCCAAAUCGCAAACGCAGGAAGGAAAUCCCCAAUCGGGCGCGGAAGCGAGGGCAACUGCGUAACCUAGCCGUCGCUGACUCGCCGCCAGAGAGCUCCGCCAGAUGCUAGUCUGCCUCACCCGCCGCCGGGCACCUGAUCCAGAUCCGAGCAAACCAAAAGACGCAGCACCCUGCGUGGGAGGAAGCAGCAGCAGCACCGGUACCGGCACGGCAUCGAGCUCGUGCAAAUGGCUGGCAGCUGCAGUUUGCAAAAUCAGCAAGCGCAGCCAGCAGGGAGUCUUCAAAAGAAUGAAACCUGUUGCUGCAUAUUUUGGAACUCCCCACCAACUGUAUCAAGCGUCCCUUGAAGCCUCUGAUGCGAACAUUUUUCGAGUGCAUCUAGCUUUGUAUUUGAUUUUUUUGAGUAUUUGUUCAGCGUGCUUGCAUAUGUUCAUAAAAAAAUUAGACUUAAAUGUUUCGCCCCGGCUAA